rnacentral:sRNA from 1 species
AGUUACAUUUACAAAUUCGUAUCCAUCUCCUUCCCCUCCCUCUCCAACCACUCCCCUUUUACUCUUCUUCGUUGACUCUCUACUUUCCUUUAAUUUAUACUUCUGUUCCCUUCCCCUACUCCCCAUCCCCAUCUCCUCCUCCUCUCCCUCUCUCCUCCCCACCAUUCUUCAUUCAUAUCCCCCACCCAGCUUCAAGUUCCCAUUCCUAGCUUCUGGGUUCACUAUUGAUACAGCCUUCCCUACAGAAGGAAAGUGGGUUUCUCAAGGAUUCGGUUCUCCAUUCAACUCAGGAGCACUUGGUAAAUUGCUAAGAGUUCAAGCAUCAUCCCUCCUGCAGGUGUGCUGAGCACCUGCCCUGUCUGUGCAGAAGAUUCCCACCCAUGAGUCAUACGGGAUACCCAGCUAGGGAGGACCAGAGAGAGAGAGGACGUGAAACCACCAGGGAGAUCUUGAAGCCCCAGAGAAGGAUGCAGCUGAGUAGCCUGUGGUCUAGCAGAUGGAGGAGUGGUGGUACUGAGCAGUGAGGAAUGGUUGCUCCCCAGAUGGUGGCACUGCUGUGGGAAGUUAUGGGACCUUCAGGAGGCGGAGCCUUGCUGGAGAAAGUGAGCCACCAGCACAUUCUACAAUCUCAGUGCUAGACAGGCAUGAGGAUUCCUGGGUCUGACUAGCCGGCCAGCGUAGUGGAUACUUCCCACUCCGAUACAGCGAAAGACUAUUUCUCAAACAAUGAGGUAGAGUGUUAACUGAGGAGGGCACCCAAGUUGACCUUUGAUACCCCCACCUUCAUGCAGGUCCACCUGCACACACCUACAUAUGGACACACAUACAUACACUAAAGAGAACCAACACAGCAUGACCAACUGAAGCCCAGGGCACCGUGAAGGACAACCUGAUAUUACUAAAUGUACACAUGUCAUCGACCACACCAAUAAAAUGGAGACUUUGUAAGCAUCUCCAGGGAGACCGGAAAGUGAUCAGGCAUGACUCCCAUUCUCUGUCCACCAGGUUUGUCUGGGGCUUUUGGUAGUAAAGCAAGGGAAGUCUGAGGACAGAGGG